UAUCAUUUCUGAGUUUAAUGUGCUGUCAAUGCAUUGUCAAAAUGUUAAGACACUUUUAGGAUGUCUUGCCAACUACUUUACAAGUAAUUUCGCAUUACAACGAAUUUCUGUUAGCAUCCAAACAUCGCGAUAAAAUCAUUGUUUUCCAUACUCAAGUGAAAAUUUUGGUCAACUUAGCAAAGACACUUAAUUCGUAUCCAAAAAAGUAAAAGCAUGUUCGAUUUACUUUGUCCUUUGAGCCACAUAUUUUCUUUGUAAAACAACUUGGUGUUACGCUUUCGAUUUCUCCGUCAGACUCGUAAAAAUUAUCAUUAGAGUUGUUUUACAAUAUUUAUUUUGAAGUAUAAACAUUUAUCUUGAAAAGACCAGGUUCUCUUGUUUCCUGAAGAAUUAACUUUUUUACUGUUAAUUUGCGGGCAAACACGUUUUUAAAGUUGUGUUUUCACUUGUGCUUAUUCACUUGUGUUGAACACAAUGUUAAUUGUUCUCUGUGUGCCAUGUUCAGUUUUCUUCUAUUGUUAUUUAAAUAAGUACAGUAAUGCAGUGGUUGUUCUCUUUUUAUUGUUAUUCAAAUUGUAAAAUUUACAAGUUCUUUUCAAUAAAUUGUUCAUUAAUUAUACAAGAGACUCCUUUUUAAUUAAAAAUUCAAUUCCCAUGGGAAUUGAAAAAAAAAAUAAAAAAAAGUCCCCUACCCCGGCCGGCUCCCCAAGUACUACCUCUACUUCAAGCAGAAGUACUUCUACUAUGUAGAUAGAAGUACUUCUACUUAAAGUAGAGGUAGCACUCGGAGAGCCAGCCGGGGUAGCGGGGCAAAGAGAAGACCAACCUUGCAAAUGCUAAUGCAAAUUGCUAAGUUGAUCUUCUCUUGAGAGCAGCCACGCGCAUACCUAGCAAAUGUAAAACAACAAGCAUUAGUAACAAAUACUCGGCAUGCAAAUUUUGAAUCCCAUGGCCAAAAUGACAAGUGCCCCCCACUGAUUCCUACCAACUGCCUACCUGCCUCAGUCCUAAGCUGUCUGCCUCGGUCCUAAGCUGUCUGCCUCGGUCCUAAGCUACCUGCAUUCCAUUCGUAACUUCCGCUUUCCUCACCAUCACACAGACACUCACAACUGCCCAACCUGCCACCAACCCGAAUUGCCCACCCUUAAAACUGAAGGAAUUAAAAUUUUGGUAAAGUAUACAUAAUUAAUUUAAUUAUUCGGAUAUUUUAGGCCAAACGCAAACAUAGAAAUUAAAGUUGACGAUUAAGAAAGACCGCGUAUACAAACAGGUGAGUUUCUCACUUGCCUCUACAUGAAAUAUAGAUAGAAAAAAAUACGACACCUCGAAAUCCGGAUUUUUCCUUCUAUAUGCUUUACAAGGAGAUUAUAAUU